GAUUGGGGCACAAUGGGGGUCAAUGGGGCACAAUGGGGUCAAUGUGGGGCACAAUGGGGUCAGUGGGGCACAAUGGGGUCAGAUGUGGGGCACAAUGGGGUCAAUGUGGGGCACAAUGGGGUCAAUGUGGGGCACAAUGGGGGUCAGAUGUGGGGCACAAAUGGGGUCAAUGUGGGGCACCAAUUGGGUUUCAAUUGUGGGCCCAUAACCAUGACCCAUGGCCCCCCCCCCACACCCCCCCCCCACCACCCAAGUGCCAGCCCCAUUGACUCACCACGAUACGGAACGGUGAGUUGGGGGACGUGCUGCCCCCC
rnacentral:lncRNA from 1 species